rnacentral:rRNA from 1 species
GACGAACGCUGGCGGCGUGCUUAACACAUGCAAGUCGAACGGAAAGGCCCUGCUUUUGUGGGGUGCUCGAGUGGCGAACGGGUGAGUAACACGUGAGUAACCUGCCCUGGACUUUGGGAUAACUUCAGGAAACUGGGGCUAAUACCGGAUAGGAGCUCCUGCUGCAUGGGGGGGGUUGGAAAGUUUCGGCGGUUGGGGAUGGACUCGCGGCUUAUCAGCUUGUUGGUGGGGUAGUGGCUUACCAAGGCUUUGACGGGUAGCCGGCCUGAGAGGGUGACCGGCCACAUUGGGACUGAGAUACGGCCCAGACUCCUACGGGAGGCAGCAGUGGGGAAUAUUGCACAAUGGGCGGAAGCCUGAUGCAGCAACGCCGCGUGCGGGAUGACGGCCUUCGGGUUGUAAACCGCUUUCGCCUGUGACGAAGCGUGAGUGACGGUAAUGGGUAAAGAAGCACCGGCUAACUACGUG